UAAGUGGGGAUUAGACUUGAAUUUGCUCCCCUACCUAGGGGACUUAGACAGAUCACUUAGAGAUCACCUGAUGCAUGCAUUGGGUCAAAGGUCAAUUAAAGAUCACAUGAUAUCUGCCCACACUCUUCCUUCCAACACGUAUACAGUGACUAGUCGAGCGCCGCUGCCCUCCUUGAAGGAGGUCGGGAAUCAAGCCUAUCCACAGUUUUGUUCUGGCCUGUUACGCAAUAGUAUCAUGAAUAUCAUUCAUUCUAUGUGGGUGCUAACCAAUAGCGAUGAAUAUCAUUUAUUAAAGUGGGUGUUGGCCUCGCGGCCCUCGCCUCUCAGUCAAUCCAACGUGUGCAAAAUUCACAUGUGGUACAGUUGAGUGGGUGUGAUCAAUCCCCUUGAGAUACUGCAAUCUGAUUGGAGCUGGAGGAAUUGUUGGAUUUCCAACAACAGAACAAAACUGUGGAUCUCUGCCUUGACUUCACUAGCUCUAUAGGAGUAAGCUUAUAGCUGUCAAUGUAAGAACAUAUUUAUAUAGUGAUUCUGUACUUGUUAUCUUCUCGCUACAGUGAAACCAUGAUGAGUUCUAUAGGAGGAGAACAAGUCGGCACUCCUUCCCUCUCACACUUAUCACACAGGGAAACUAUUCUAAGUCUCGUUCAAUCUCUAAUGUCGGUGAACACACAUGAAAAGAAGCCACGAUGUAUUUUUGUGGGCACAUUCUGGAUUGACCCAGAAACAUGAAAAUUUAGUGCCUCGAAAAGUGGUUUACAUCCAGUAUCUAUAUUGUAGGGGUGUGGUCGUUUGAACCUAUCCUUGAAAUUUAAAGUAAAAUCCUUGAAAUGUUUAGUUUAGGCAAUCCGCGAAAAUUCAGUGCCUCAAACAUGACCCAGAUUACUGAUCAGCCAUGCAUACAAUAACGGUUUACUUCAGCCUUCAAAUCAAUUUAGGGUAGGUGAUAUUGAGGCAAAUCAGUAUCCUUUAUUUUGGUCAUGCUGCAUGUGUAGAGCCAUGACUUCUUAUUCUCACCCUAUACACAUAUAGGCAACGAGGAUGAUCAUGGGUGUGAAAAUCAAUUAUGCACUAGAGACUUGCAAGAAGUGUUUUCAAACUUGAUGGAGGUUGUUACUAGUUGGUUUAAUUUGGGGCUCUCUUUGGGAAUUCAAGUUGGCACACUCAAAGCCAUCAAAUCUAAUGAAAGCAACGACCAAGAUCGCUUGCGUGAAAUGCUGACCCACUGGUUGUAGUACUCACCUUCUCGUACAUGGAGUGACAUUUGCAAUGGCCUCAGAAGUGACACUGUCAAACAAAUCAAUCUUGCUGAUAAAAUCGAGGAGAAAUACAAAGGCUCACUGUCAGUGGCCCCUCCACAAGUGCCCAACCUGAUGAGUGCACUAGCAAUACCAGGUCAGCAAUCUGGCCGGGACUAUCAUCAAUGGCCACUAGCCCCCAUUUUACCACCGCUACAAGAGCACUCGUCCCGACCACACCCCCUCACUGGUGAGAAGAGAGAGGCCACUGAACACACUGAGCAAGUUCCCCCCAAGAGACCUCGGUCAGAGGAACAGUGAGGGAGGAGAAUGGACUACGUACACUGUCCAGCUCGUCUGUUGAUGGUCACCUCCUCAG